UACGUAGGGGGCAAGCGUUGUCCGGAAUCAUUGGGCGUAAAGCGCGUGUAGGCGGUCCGGUUAGUCGGCUGUGAAAGUCAAGGGCUCAACCCUUGAAUGCCGGUCGAUACUGCCGGACUAGAGUCCGGAAGAGGCAAGUGGAAUUCCCGGUGUAGCGGUGAAAUGCGCAGAUAUCAGGAAGAACACCCGUGGCGAAGGCGGCUCUCUGGGACGGUA
rnacentral:rRNA from 1 species